AGCAAGAAACACCAAAACUAUGCACCUCCGUAUCGGAGCACCGCGUAUGGCACUCGGAAGGUGGUAAAAAGGAAACUGUGUCUAGUGUCUAUUUCUCCUUCUAGCAAAAAUCCUUCCCUAGUCCCUUGUGCGUAACCUCAAGGCUCGAGCAAGCAACUAGAGAGUCUCUGGGAAAUUUGCCAAAAGUUCCAACUCUGUUUCCAACAUUCCC
rnacentral:lncRNA from 1 species